rnacentral:lncRNA from 1 species
GUUGAUCCCUGAUAUUGGUGGUUUGUGUUGACUCCUCUUGUCUCUCUCUUCAUGCUGAGCUGCCUGGAGUUGGGGGAGGGAGGACGCAAGCACCCCUGUGGCUCCCACCACCGGGACCGUCCUGGGUCGGACGUGAAGCCAGCACGAUACUGAAUCUUGCUAGAGGCUGGUGGCUAGGACUCAUGGCUACCACGGAUGUUUAUUCAAGACCCAAGCAAGGGCUCUUUCAUCAGCCGGUUCAAGGGUACAUGUGCAAGUUCGUGACAUCGAUAAAUUGCAUGGCAUGGGGAUUUGGUGUGCAGAUAAUCUCAUCACCCAGGUCCCACUCCAGGUUUUGCCCAAAUCUUUCUGAUUGGUGGAACUUAAAUCACGCCCAAAAUCCCAGCUGCAGGAGAGCUCUGAGAUUUCAUCUUUCCAGCCUCUGUGUGCUACAUGGGGGUUGGAGCACUUGCUGA